GGAGAAGUUUGGAUUGUUUCCAGUUUUUGGCAAUUAUAUAUAAAGUCACCUCUGUACAGGUUUUCAAGUGACCAUAGUUUUCAUUUCACUUGGGUCAAUAAUAAGUAGGAGGCCAAGCUGUGUGGUAAGUGCAUGCUUCACCUUCUAAGAAACUGCUGCACUGUUUUCCAAAGUAAGUUUACAUUUUUAAAAUUUCACCAAAAAUGGAUGAGAUUUUCAGUACUCCACAUUCUUGACAGCAUUUAAUAUUAUCGAUUUUAAUUUAAUCAUUAUUAUAGAUGUUUAUUGGUAUAUCAUCAUUGUUUUAAUAUGUAUUUCUGUAAUGACUGUUGAGGUUGAGUGUCUUUGCGUUAUUUGCCAUUUGAUGGAGUUUCUGUACAUCUUUUACCCAUUUGAAAGCAAAUUGUUCAUUUGAUGGAAAAGUAGUGUUUUGUUUUGUUUUAAUUUUUUUUGGUUAGGUUGAUGUUGUCAACUGUUAUCUAUACUCUCCUCUACCCCACGAAGCCUUUAGCCACCUAAAAGAUAUUGAGAUCAACAUUUAGUGUGAAUAGAGCCACAUUUUCACAAGUCAGACAGGAGAAAACUAUAUAUGGAGCAUUUUUCUGAAUGUCUUUGGAAAUAAAAAAUAACUACUUCCAUUCCCCUUGGAGGAGCCUACCCCAUCCAGUAACAUGAGGUCAUUAAGCCAAGUUCUUCUUUAUAGGAGAAGAAAAACCAUAGGUGCUUCUUUAAGAGGGUAACUUGUUUUUCCUAGAGCUAUAAGAGACCAGAGGAUUAUAGAAUUCUGGUUUUUAAAACAGCCUGAGGAUUCCCUCAGGGCAAAUAUUGAUUAUUUGUAACUUGAAAUUUUAAAUCACGCUUCAAGUGUCACUUUAAAGUAUAAGAAAUCGAUGUACCUGUAAAAUUGACAUAGUUACUUCAGAUAUGAUACAAAUAGAAGCCACAGCAACCUUCACUAUUUACCAGAUUGAAGAAAAAAAUAAGUAAGACCUUGAAAUAUUUUACUGUUUUAGUGGAAUAUACUUGUAGUGAACUUCUGUUAGGAAUUUUCUUUUGCAGCUCCUGGUGUUUCCUUUAUUGAGGACCGCCUUUCUUUUCCAUGCCAUUUUGCAUCUUCCACUGGGAUGGGCCCUCAGCAGCCAUGUUUGUAGUACCUCAUCCCACCCCUUGGCCAGAGGUGAUGUGACGAGAGGGCGUUGUAGUCCACUGAGUGUUUGGGGCAAGGACAUUUUCGACAGUUCCGAAAGACUUACCUCACACAGGUGCUGCUUGCAUCAAAAGAGUCAGCCCUGCUAGCUGGGAGCCCACAAAGAUUUCUGGUGGAGAGAAGAAAAAGUAGCAUCUAGGGAAGCCUGCUGCCAUGUCUUGAGGACCCUCCAACAGCUCUGUGGAGAAGCCCACAUGGUGAGAAACUGAGGCCUUCAUGCAACAGCCAUGUGAAAAAGUCUUCAUGGAAGUGGGUCUUCCAGCCCAAUCAGAUCUUCAGAUGACUGCAGCCCCAGCUGACAGUUUCACAGCAAACUAAUGAGAGACCCUGAACCAGAGCCACCUGGGCCCCUGAGUUUCUGGCAGUUACAGUCAGGGCCCUCUGCUGAAAGAAGCAUCAUGGAAACCUGGACACACAUGAGAACCGGCCUUCCACGCAGGCAAGAAGCAGAAACUGAGGCUCCUCCUUCUCCAUCAUGAGGAAUGUCUUCUGGAAGGCCCUCUGUUGACCUCUCUUGAGAGAUGGCUUUGGUCUGGGUCACCCUGGGCCAUCAGUCAUAUUCUAAUAAUUUGAACCUUAAAAAGAAGGGGUUCUGGUUUCUGUUUCCUCUUUUUGUGUCCCAUAUAAAUUUCAGAUGCAGAUAGAAGUAUAGGCAUGGGGCCUUGGCUAACUGCACUCAGGACUCUUAGCCAAAUUAAUGAAGGAUAAUACUAAAGAGGACAAAACCCCCAGGGUAUUACAUAUGGAUUUCAAAUUCCAGAAUGAGUGCGAGAUAAGGGAAAUGAUGUAGUAUUUAAGACAGAAUCUCAAAUAAGAACCAACGAAUACUGCCCCAGCCCUUGACCCGAGUUCUAAUUUCUCCUUUUGCACAUGGAAAGGGAGAAAGAAGAGGAGCAUGUGAGUGGUUUGAAGUACCCUGCCAUUCCUUACACAUCUGGGCAAAACUCAUCAUAAUAAGGUAAAUCAGUGGACGUCAAAAUGCAUCAAAGAGAAAAUGCAGCAAUUCUUACUAGAUUCAAUUUUUCAAUUUUCAUAUAAGAAUUAAAGCUAAAUAUUGACAAAGG